GCAUAUCAAUAAGCGGAGGAAAAGAAACCAACCGGGAUUGCCCUAGUAACGGCGAGUGAAGCGGCAAGAGCUCAAAUUUGAAAGCUGGCUCCUUCGGGGUCCGCAUUGUAAUUUGCAGAGGAUGCUUCGGGAGCGGUCCCCAUCUAAGUGCCCUGGAACGGGCCGUCAUAGAGGGUGAGAAUCCCGUAUGGGAUGGGGUGCCCGCGCCCGUGUGAAGCUCCUUCGACGAGUCGAGUUGUUUGGGAAUGCAGCUCUAAUUGGGUGGUAAAUUUCAUCUAAAGCUAAAUAUUGGCCGGAGACCGAUAGCGCACAAGUAGAGUGAUCGAAAGAUGAAAAGCACUUUGAAAAGAGAGUUAAACAGCACGUGAAAUUGUUGAAAGGGAAGCGCUUGCGAUCAGACUCGCUCGCGGGGUUCAGCCGGCCUUCGGGCCGGUGUACUUCCCCGCGGGCGGGCCAGCGUCGGUUUGGGCGGCCGGUCAAAGGCCCCUGGAAUGUAACGCCUCUCGGGGCGUCUUAUAGCCAGGGGUGCCAUGCGGCCUGCCCGGACCGAGGAACGCGCUUCGGCUCGGACGCUGGCAUAAUGGUCGUAAGCGACCCGUCUUGAAACACGGACCAAGGAGUCUAACAUCUACGCGAGUGUUCGGGUGUCAAACCCGUGCGCGCAGUGAAAGCGAACGGAGGUGGGAACCCCUCGGGGUGCACCAUCGACCGAUCCUGAUGUCUUCGGAUGGAUUUGAGUAAGAGCGUAGCUGUUGGGACCCGAAAGAUGGUGAACUAUGCCUGAAUAGGGCGAAGCCAGAGGAAACUCUGGUGGAGGCUCGCAGCGGUUCUGACGUGCAAAUCGAUCGUCAAAUUUGGGUAUAGGGGCGAAAGACUAAUCGAACCAUCUAGUAGCUGGUUCUGCGAG
rnacentral:rRNA from 1 species